rnacentral:rRNA from 1 species
CGGGUACAACGAGUUGCGAACUCGCGAGAGUAAGCUAAUCUCUUAAAGCCGUUCUCAGUUCGGACUGUAGGCUGCAACUCGCCUACACGAAGUCGGAAUCGCUAGUAAUCGCGGAUCAGCAUGCCGCGGUGAAUACGUUCCCGGGCCUUGUACACACCGCCCGUCACACCAUGGAAGUUUGCAAUGCCCAAAGUCGGUGGCCUAACCAUUUGGAGGGAACCGCCUAAGGCAGGGCAGAUGACUGGGGUGAAGUCGUAACAAGGUAAC